rnacentral:rRNA from 1 species
GUUGAACGCUGGCGGCGUGCCUAAUACAUGCAAGUCGAGCGAAGCGGGGACGGGUGAGUAACACGUGGAUAACCUCCUAUAAGACUGGGAUAAUUUCGGGAAACCGGAGCUAAACCCGUAACUUAUCGAUGGAUCCGGGCUGCAUUAGCUAGUGGGUAAGGUAACGGCUUACCAAGGCUACGAUGCAUAGCCGACCUGAGAGGAUGACCGGCCACACUGGAACUGAGACACGGUCCAGACUCCUACGGGAGGCAGCAGUGGGGAAUCUUGCGCAAUGGGCGAAAGCCUGAUGGAGCAACGCCGCGUGAGUGAAGAAGGUCUUCGGAUCGUAAAGCUCUGUUAGUGGGGAGGCGGUACCUGAUCAGAAAGCACCGGCUAACUACGUGCCAGCCGCCGCGGUAAUUC